GUGCCAGCCGCCGCGGUAAUACCGGCAGCCCGAGUGAUGGCCGAUCUUAUUGGGCCUAAAGCGUCCGUAGCUGGCUGCGCAAGUUCGUCGGGAAAUCCACUCGCUUAACGAGUGGGCGUCCGGCGAAAACUGUGCGGCUUGGGACCGGAAGAUCCAAGGGGUACGUCCGGGGUAGGAGUGAAAUCCCGUAAUCCUGGACGGACCACCGAUGGCGAAAGCACCUUGGAAGGACGGAUCCGACAGUGAGGGACGAAAGCUAGGGUCUCGAACCGGAUUAGAAACCCUAGUAGUCC
rnacentral:rRNA from 1 species